rnacentral:rRNA from 1 species
UACGUAGGGGGCAAGCGUUGUCCGGAUUUAUUGGGCGUAAAGAGCGUGUAGGCGGCCCGGUAGGUGGGUUGUGAAAACUGGAGGCUCAACCUUCAGACGUCGACCCAAACCCCCUGGCUAGAGUCCGGAAGAGGAGAGUGGAAUUCCUGGUGUAGCGGUGAAAUGCGUAGAUAUCUGGAGGAACACCGGUGGCGAAGGCGGCAUCCUGGACCGAGAUUGACGCUGAGGCGCGAAAGCCAGGGGAGCAAACGGG